UGUUUGUGUGUGUGUGUGUGUGCGCGCACACACACACACACACACAGACA
rnacentral:miRNA from 1 species